rnacentral:rRNA from 1 species
AUACGUAGGGGGCGAGCGUUGUCCGGAAUGAUUGGGCGUAAAGGGCGCGUAGGCGGCCCGGUAAGUCUGGAGUGAAAGUCCUGUUUUUAAGAUGGGAAUUGCUUUGGAUACUGUCGGGCUUGAGUGCAGGAGAGGUAAGUGGAAUUCCCAGUGUAGCGGUGAAAUGCGUAGAGAUUGGGAGGAACACCAGUGGCGAAGGCGACUUACUUGACUCAAAAUGACGAUGAGGAGCGAAAGUAUAGGGAGAAAACAGGAUUAGAUACCCUGGUAGUCCACUCUGUCCACGAUGAUUGCUAAGUGUAGGGGCUAACGACCCCUUCUGUGCCGCAGGCAACACAAUAAGCAAUCCGGCUGGGGAGUACGGCCGUAAGGUUGAAACUCAAAGGAAUUGAAGGGG